rnacentral:tRNA from 1 species
GCCCGCCUAGCUCAAUCGGCUAGAGCGUCAGACUUUUAAUCUGAAGGCUGCGGGUUCGACCCCCGCGGUGGGCU